UUCCAAUUAAUUGAAAUAUUUUUUCGUAGGUUAUGAAGCAAAUGAGUUACUCGUAGAAAUCGUCGACAGAGAUAAUGUGAAGGCUCUCGCUCAUUAUAAAGCAUUCGCUAUCGGUUCGGAAAAGGAAGGCUAUCCAUUGAGUACUUUGAGAGAUUGCACCGGUGAUGCUGGAGACGCUUUAACUCAUCAUUUGGGGUCAAAAUUCACUACGAAAGACUUCGAUCAAGAUUCAAAUCCGAGUAACUGCGCUAUAGCGUACAGUGGUGCUUGGUGGUAUAAAUCCUGUCAUCUGAGUAACCUCAAUGGCAAAUAUCUGAACGCCAAUCUCCCUGAACAAUACAAAUUUCAUGGAGUGCAUUGGAAUACAUUUAGAAGCCAUGAAUAUUGUCACGCAAGAGCCAGAAUGUUGAUCAGACCUGCGGUGUAACUGAAAUCAAGAGAUCAAAUGAAUUUGAAGCCGAAAUAUUUACGAAAGUUCUUGAACUUUGGAAACAAAAAAUAUCUGAAAUAAUAUUCUUACAGAUGUUAAUUGAAUGAAAUUUUAAUUUUU